GAGCUCACUUUGGCCACACAUAUGCUAAAAUUGGAACAAUACAGAGUAAAUUAGCAUGUCCCCUGCACAAGGAUGUCAUGCAAAUUUGUGAAGCAUUCCAUAUUUUU